GUGAGGAAUUUUCUGCAAUGGGCGAAAGCCUGACAGAGCAAUACCGCGUGAGGGAUGAAGACUUACUGAGUUGUAAACCUCGGUACCUUAAGGAAGAAGAUAUGACGGUACUUAAGGUGGAAAGCAUCGGCUAACUCCGUGCCAGCAGCCGCGGUAAGACGGGGGAUGCAAGUGUUAUCCGGAUUUACUGGGCGUAAAGCGUCUGCAGGUGGUUUCUUAAGUCUACUGUUAAAUCUUGAGGCUCAACCUCAAAUCUGCAGUAGAAACUAGGAGACUUGAGUAUAGUAGGGGUAGAGGGAAUUUCCAGUGGAGCGGUGAAAUGCGUAGAUAUUGGAAAGAACACCGAUGGCGAAGGCACUCUACUGGGCUAUUACUGACACUCAGAGACGAAAGCUAGGGGAGCAAAUGGGAUUAGAAACCCCAGUAGUCC
rnacentral:rRNA from 1 species